UAUCUCGUGCUUUUGUAAAGAGAUAAUUUUCAUGGGUCGAAAAAUCUUGAUCAUUAGUUUGUAUAUUUUUGACUUUGAAACAAUCAUCAUAAUGGUAAUUUUCAGUGCAUUAAAAGAUGGAAGACUCUUUCUUUAUACUAAUUCUCUUCCAUCUUCAAGAAGCAAAGACAGAGCAGACCUACAAAAGCAAAAGGUUUCCCUUUUUCUUUCUUUCUAAUAAGCUUACAAAUUCAUAACAAACUAUAAAAUAUAAAUAUUGAUCUUCAUGGAAGGGAACUUUUAAAGUAGGACAACUGCAACCAACUCACCAUUAGAACAUUCUCUAAGCCAUAGGAACUUUGAUAUAUAUAUAUAUAUAUAUAUAUAUAUAUAUAUAUAAUUUCCUACAUUAAGUGCAUAAAAUUCCUAUACAUGGGUGGGCCAUCAACUGUUUGCCACCAUAUACCAAAUUUUUGAAGCACUACAUUAAAAAUUUGUCUCUGCUAAGAACAAUGAUUGAAUAUAAGAGAAUCAGAGAAAUGAGUUGUGGAGCAAUGAAUAUGGAAUGUAGGGCAUGGCUAUACCUGUUUUGGCUCUGGUGGGUCGUAAUAAUAUCUUUCUCACAAGUUGAGUCUACCAAUUAAGACUCCAGAAUAGCAGCUCUAGAUUAUAAUUGGCUUGCCUUUUAUUGGGUAUUGAAUGGUAGCUCAAAUUUCAAAGUCUAAGCAAUUAUAUGCCAUUUCUUUGCUUAUACAAGACUUUAUCACUACUAUUCUUCUUCCAGGAAAAAGAAAGCCUUUGCUUUCAGACAAUACAGCAUGAAAUGUCAAAGCGUUUUUUUUUUUUUUUUUUUUUUUUUUUUUUUUUUUUUUUUUUGUGGAGAUAAUAUUUGUGAUUCAAAGUAGAGCCACACACCUCAUAGUUAAUUAGCAGUAAUGUCUGUCAGGAUUGGUUCUUUUAAAGCAUGAAAAUGAGAUGAUCCUUAACUGUUGUUUCUGCACUCCAACUUGUAAUAUAGAAAAAGAUAUUCGGAUUCUGUCUAUUGUAAAUCAGGAUUCCAAUAACUAAAAGAUUUUCACUACGGGAAUCUAAAUCCGUCCUGGUAAAAUUUCAUGUUUCAGUUUUAAAUGAUUAUGUUUAGGUGAACAAGUAAACCCAGAAUCAUAACUUAUUUGUAUCAUUUUCUCCUUAUUUUGCAUACCCAGAUAAAAGAUGAACCCUAGAAAGAAAACGAGACCAAAAAAAAAAAAAUGAGAACCCACUAUGAUGCCUUUUACUUUGGCAUGCUAAGGGAAGUUUGAUGACAAAAAGGGGAAUGAGGCAUCAAUAUAUUAUAGAAAAGUACCAAAGAUGACAAGCACACAUUGCCAAGCGCUAAUUACAAGACACCAAGCACAGAAAAUGAAAGCAUAUCAAAGCUUAAAUUUAAAAAUAAAUACAAAACCUCUGUGCUUUAGUUCAUGGUUUAUUGAAAGGUUUUCAACACCAAAAAUCUCUAUUUAUUAGGGACUCAAAG
rnacentral:lncRNA from 1 species